AGCCUUGUAUUCAAUUUAUAAAUGAUUUUAGAAUGCAAUUCUAUAGGAGUGGUAUAUUAAACCUCUAAGGCUU
rnacentral:tRNA from 1 species